UUUAUUGAACUGUGGACUUCAGAGGGUUGGUGUUGUUUUUUCGAUGGACCAACAUAGCUUCCUAUGCUUUUUAAAUUAGAGGAGUUGCUUCUUCCUGGUGACUUAUAUCUGAUUUUGCAGGCUCUCCUUUAGUGGGAAAUCUACUUUGUGUUUGGUUUAUUAUGCGUGUCUAGCGGGGGUGGGGGGUGGGGAAGCAUAUUUGUGCCUCACUCUUAAGAUGGGGUCUCAGUCAUCCUCCAUCUAGAGCACUGAUCAGGUCCGCACGUGCUUAACUUCAGUAGUAGCUGUACCAUUAGUUGUGUGGAGACCAUUUGCUAGGCCGGACCUUACUAGGUGUCGCAUGUCUUGUUCUCUCUUUUUUAAAAAUUUAUUUGCAGCUUCGAGAGAGGAAAACACUCAUUUCCUACCCACUCCAAGCUCUCCAGACAAGUGUGGCAUGCUUCUAUAAUCAUGCCCUCAGGAUGUUUAAGUGCAAUAUCCGUCAUCCCUGACAGUAGCCGUGCUGACUGAGACUGAUGGGAGGGCACAUCUGGAGGGCACCAUGUUAGCUACCCCAUUUAUAGGUUAUUUUGUAAAAAUGUGUUUAUGUCUAUAUUAUACACACAUCUAAACAUAGAUGUACACUCUAUAAACCAGUGGUUGCCAACAUGGUGCCCUACCAUGUGCGCACACGCACAUCCUGUGUCUUUUCCAAUGUGCAUUGAUGAUGCAAUGCAAGUGCAAUGUUGAGGGGAGAGGCACAGGCUAGCUGGGCUGAUCAGAUGCAGCAGAUUUGAACAUGGCCUAUUGCCAAAACCAUACAGCAGAGUUUUUGCAGAGCUGGCACUGAAGCCUGACAGGAAGGUGCGGCUCCUGACCUGGUAUCUUCUCUUCUGUUACCAGAAGUGUGCUGGACUCAGAGGUGCUCUUUGGGAGCUGAACCCUACUUUCCCAAGAUAGUUUUGGGGACUAAAUCUUUUCAAAGUUUGCUGCAAAACAUUAAAUAACUUUCCCAGUUUACUAGUACUGAGUCCACAAUUUGUUUCUCAAAAGAGCCAAUCAAAAGCUAAUGGAGAGCAUUAUGCCAAUCCUUUAUUUGGAACAGAUGAUGCUCUUAAGAAAAAGCUUAAAGCCCUCUUGGUCUCAGACUGGGAAGUUGACAGGAGAAAAACCAUAGAAUCCUCCCUAUGGUGGCAAAAUCCUUGUCUUGCUUUCCAUUCUGUGCUUUGAACAGUGCACCUGUUUCUUGCUUCGUUCCUCCCUGCACUCCACAGCAUAGACUAGGAAGCACUUCAAACAAGCAAGAAACUGGUGCCUUUGUAAUUGCAUUAUCCCCAAGCCGCUUUCCUGCUUAGAAUUCAGUGGCAUUGGACUUUGGUGUGAGGCGUUAAGUAAUUUAUCUCAGUUUACCUAUACCUAGUCCACAAUGUUGCUUUUUAAAAUAGCUCCCCAUUAAUUUUUUGGGUAUCUGUUUAAGUGACUUUAAAGUUACUGCUGUCCAUUACCUAAGAAUUCAUGUAGUCACGGUAGUCACCUGAACUGAUCUAAUCUGCCUUCUCUCUUUCAUGUUGCUCAUUUUUACUGAUUCCUUUGUUUAUGGUCCCUUUGUGCUUGCUGUGCACUCGGCUUGAUAGUAGUCUUUUUUUGAGGUGGAUUAUGAGGACUUGUAAGAAUGUUGUGGUGAAUAUAGUGGAGCAGGGUGAUGAAGGAGAGCUGUUGUAGAGUCAGAAAACUUUGGUUGCAGGAAAGGAGCAGAGGCUGAGAAGAAUACAUGCAUAUUCCAUGGGCACACGGAGUCAUACUAGUGGAAUUGUUCAGAUGGAUUGUACAGCAAAAUUCAGGCACAGAAAACUUGCUUGGCAGGAGCAGAUUGAGGCCCACUUACUGUAGUUUAGAUUCUACUUCCAUCAAAUGCCCCGGGGAAACUCACAAGCAGGACAUGAAUAUGGCCUUCCUCUAUUAUAUCUCUAGCAUCCUGGUCCUCCAGACUUAAGCACUGAGGCCAAGAGGCUUGCUGAAUGUCAGGUUUGAGCAGGAGCAACAUAAAUAUUUUACUUACUCACUCACUGUAUUAACUGUGUCUAGUCAUAUCUGUUUUUCUACAUUUAAGGAAUGAGCUUUUUGUUCAGAAAAGUUUCAGGCUGUACUCUCUGAAAUGCAGGCAGCAGAAGGCAAGACUAUUCCACUUUUAAUCAUGAGCACUAUUGACAGUUCCUCCUCCUCCCAGAAGCAGUGUGUCUUUGAGGGGUGGGUGAGUUCAGACCUAUUCAAUAUCUCAUUUUAGGAGAAGCAAAUCUCCAGCUUUUUUGAUGGAACUUCUUGAAGCCUGUGAUAUGAUAGGUUUUUCAUUUUUCAAGUAGCAAAAAAGUCUCAUUAGAAGGGACUCUGAUGUAGCAUGGACAUUUCUCCAUGGAAUGUUCUCUGUAUUGGAGAAUGUUGUUUCUCAAAAUACAGUUUCAUAAAAUAAGCAACACAAUGAAUGAUUACAAUGCUAGUUUCAAAGUGUAACUAAGUUUUUGUUUCAGGUGAUUAUCCCUAGGAACAUUGAUUGUGUUAAUGAUUUUUUUUCCUCCUGAUUAAAAUUGUUUAGUUUUACUACUUUUGAAUAUUGGGAAAAUGUGUUUGUAGAAUACAUAAAAUUAAUGUGGCAUACUUUUGUGUACACAUGGCAGAUAUGCUAAAUUAGAUCACAAUUUAAGUCACUGAAACAAAAAUCGCAAAAAUGUUUUGAAUCAAAGUUUAUGAAAGACCAUUGUUAAGGGAUUUCAGUACAUGCUAAAGUAGAAUAUUUCUAGUAAAAUGUUUUUCUAGCUUUGACUUUAGGGUCAUUUUUUCUGACUAUUAGCUCUCUUAGAGACUGUAUUUUGUUCUCAGCUCAGCUUUGACUUGAUCUAGGAGUUUGGACUCCAGGUUGGAUAUGGCUUGCUUGAGUAUGAAUUUAUUUGCACAUGUGGAAUCAUUAAGUUACCUGUGGGGAGUGGCUGUUGUGUUUUAAACAGCAAGCUGCCAUUUUGCCAUUUCACCAGACCUGAGAGGUAUGUAUUAGCAACCAUUCUCACAAGUCAAUUAUCCCCAAUACACAUUGAAAAUUAAAAUGGAUUCUGAAAUUAUGUUUUAUUGCACAGUUGUGGUCAGGCAAGUUUUCUGAGGUUGUCCCCGCAGACCAUGUUAAAAAAUGACUUGUGGCCUAGAUGAUUGCUCUUCCAGUUUGUCCACACUAAGGGGCAGGGGUUGAUGAGGUUUCGGUUUGGCACAGAUGGUCCAUUGUGACAGGAAGAAGGCAGCUUGCAGUGACAUGUAGGUUAAUCACAGGGCUCUUUGAUGCAUGACUGCUAAUUGUAUGGGUACCUUCUGUCCAAGAGAAUUGUAUGUAUACUACAUGUGACAAGCACACGGGUGUCUAUUUGGCCACAUCCACACACAGUGAGAACCUGUUGCCAAUCACUGCAUCCUUUCCACAUGCAUCUGCACAUGGACCUAUGCAUGUUGGUCUCGUGUUACAGGGGACAAGUGGUAUAUGCAAGGUAUUCCUGAAUGGAAGCUAUAUCCAUGAGAGAAAUGACCCUUCAAGCAGUUUCCUUAAUAAGGCAGAGUUUAAACUGUGUAACAGUAUAGUAUUAACAUUGUGUGUGUGUAGUUAGGGGGACAAAUGUAAGCUCCAUCCUCAAGACAUUCCGUUCACUGUGGGUCCAUCAGGUGCUUGGGGCUGCACUGAGCAAUUGGUCUGCUAUAAGAAAUACAUAGCAUGGCAGAUUGGAGGUGCCCCUUUGCCUUUGUGUGGGGCAUUGUGUUGGUGAUGUCGACACUAUUCUGUGUGCCAUUGCAGGGACACAUUUCUUAAGAAUCCAGCUGUAGGCCAGCUAUAGUUUCACAUUCUCCUAGGAACAUGUUGGUGCUGCACUUCAGCUUAAGGCCCUUGGUUGUAAAUUUCUGAUGACUUCUUGCUUUGUGGGGCACUGCCGUUUUGCUUUCUGAGAGAAGCAUAGGAUGAGUUUGAAAUCUCUGGGUGUUCUUGUAGGUUCUCCCCCGCCCCCUUUAACAAAAGUAUGCUGAAGUCAAGCAAGUUUGUUGCACCUGAACUAUUGUAGUUAGCCUUCCUGCAGGUGGACAGAUGGAUGGCAAGUGCAUUGGUAAAAGCCUUCACAAUUUUUACUUAUUAAACCACCUUGACCGUGUGUGCCUCUUUGUAUUGCAAAUGUGAGCUGCAACUAUUUGGGGAUAGGGUGGGAGGGUUGGUUUAUAUAAAAUAUAGAUAAAUAUAUAUAUACAUAUAUAUAUAACAAAUCUGUAUUUCAGUAUGUUUUUAGAAACUUAACUCUUUAACCCAGAAGCAGCGUGUCCACUGCUCCCUUCACUCCUUACCCCCGCCAAGUUUACUGCCCUUGCCAAAAGUUUAGCUAUCUUUGCAUUUUCUUCCAGUUUGGUUAAAUAUCAGCCUGUCAUCUUCUACAAUUUUCAACUUUGUUACAUAUCCAUCAGCUUUGCGAGACUUGGCUUGGCUCUU
rnacentral:lncRNA from 1 species